UUCCGUAGGUGAACCUGCGGAAGGAUCAUUACCGAGUGCGGGAACCCAGUCGGGUCCCAAUCUCCCACCCGUGUCUACCACACCUAGUGUUGCUUUGGCGGGCCCACUCCUCCGGUGUUCCGCCGGGGGGGUCGUCCCGGGGCGCGGUGUGCCCCCGGGGCCCGUGCCCGCCAGAGGCACUCACUGUGAACGCUUUUGUGAAUGCGAGGAUUGUCUGAGUGACGAAAUGCAAUCGUUCAAAACUUUCAACAAUGGAUCUCUUGGUUCCGGCAUCGAUGAAGAACGCAGCGAAAUGCGAUAAGUAAUGUGAAUUGCAGAAUUCCGUGAAUCAUCGAAUCUUUGAACGCACAUUGCGCCCUCUGGUAUUCCGGGGGGCAUGCCUGUCCGAGCGUCAUUGCGAACCCUCAAGCACGGCUUGUGUGUUGGGCCGCCGUCCCCUCGUUUGGAGGGGACGGGCCUGAAAGGCAGCGGCGGCGUCGCGUCCGGUCCUCGAGCGUAUGGGGCUCUGUCACGCGCUCAAGGAGGGGUCCGGCCGGGGCCAUAGCCUCUGAAGGUCAAUUCUUCCAAGGUUGACCUCGGAUCAGGUAGGAGUACCCGCUGAACUUAAGCAUAUCAAUAAGCGGGAGGAA
rnacentral:rRNA from 1 species